UACGUAGGGUGCGAGGCGUUGCCCGGAUUUAUUGGGCGUAAAGGGCGCGUAGGCGGUGAGAUGCGUCCGUUGUGAAAUCGCCCGGCUCAACUGGGCGGGGUCAGCGGAUACGGUCUCACUUGAGCAAGCUAGGGGGCAAUGGAAUUCCCGGUGUAGUGGUGGAAUGCGUAGAUAUCGGGAGGAACACCAGUGGCGAAGGCGGUUGCCUGGGGCUUUGCUGACGCUGAUGCGCGAAAGCGUGGGGAGCGAUCCGG
rnacentral:rRNA from 1 species